rnacentral:tRNA from 1 species
GGCGGUACAGGGUUCGAACCUGUGACCCCUACCAUGUCAAGGUAGUGCUCUACCGCUGAGCUAACCGCCC